rnacentral:lncRNA from 1 species
CUUGAUCAACCUACACAUCCCAAUAAAAUAUGUCAUCCUACAUAGCUUUGCACUUUAAAUAGCUCACUAAAACUUUGAUUUUCAACACCUCCAACUUCUUCAACCAUAUAGGAAUAUACAUCGACUGUUUGAAUUCCAGCAUUCACCACAAAGUCUAUAAUACCUACUUUUAUAGCCAUAAAUGAUCUUAUUGAUCUCAACAAAUACCUUUCAUCGAGCUUUGCCAACUCAUGAUUAUGCUUAGCAACCAAUC